rnacentral:lncRNA from 10 species
UUUGCGGUGAGUGUUACAGCUCUUUAAGGUGGUGUGGACCCAAAGAGUGAGCAGCAGCAAGAUUUACUGUGAAGAGCAAGAGAACAAAGCUUCCACAACGUGGAAGGGGACCAGAGCCGGUUGCCGCUGCUGGCUGGGGUGGCCAGCUUUUAUUCCCUUAUUUGGCCCCGCCCACAUCCUGCUGAUUGGUACAUUUUACAGAGCGCUGAUUGGUCCAUUUUACAGUGUUGAUUGGUCCGUAAGUCCAGCUGGCUUUGCCUCUCACCAUGAUCUCCCAUAGCAGCAAGGGGCUUGGGAAAUGCAUCCUAGUUCUGUAGCCAGGUCCUCUCCCCAGCUCUGUUCCCAUGGCAGAAGAAGAUAAUGGUUUGGUAGCAAUCUCAGUCACUUCUAAAAUGGAAUUCCUUUUACAGCCUUUGGUCUUUUAGAAAAGUCUGAUAGGUCUUAGAACCUUCUCCUUAGUCCUGACUACCUCUGAGAUUCCGGCUUUGCAAGGCCCUCUGACCCUGACUGCGUCAAGGAAGAAAAAGGAAGGUAGCUAAAUGACAAAUAUCUUCCAGCAAAAGGUGCAGGAAUGUGCGAGCGAGAAGAAGGUGCAGUGGGAGCUGACUGGCUCCUGGUUCUGACAUCGUCCCGCUUCCCUGGUGCCCUGCAAGGAGGCCCAUUGCUCCCCUGUGAUGGCACUCACUCUGGAUGACAGUCAUCAAGUCCAAACCCAGAGCUUCUGUUCUGAUUGCAGGGUGCCUUCAUUAGCAGGGUCACGUGGUUGGAGAAUCUAAGCACCGACCCGUGAAAUGCAUUUAAGUUAAUGAGCUCAUCCACUGCUGUGAGCAGUGCCUCCAGGAGGACCCCCAUGAAGGAUCAGCACCCACACUCCAUCCACAGAUGAUCUGGGGCAGGUGUAACCAGAACGUGCUGCAUGGCACCCUGGCUGUGGGCACCAUCCCGCCCUCUCUGCGGGAGAGAAGAGUGUUUUACUGCAGCCAAAUUCCAGGCACAAAGCUGGUGAUUCCAGCCAGUAGGGCUGCUAGAGCCAGGGGUCCUACUCCCGUUUGACAGCAGUGUGUCUCCAGCGAAGAUGCUUACCUGCUGCCAUAUCAAGAAAGGGGAGACCAGUGCCAGCCAUUAUGCACGCUGUAGGUGACCAACAGCUCAGAUGUGCUGUCGACCCACAAAGACUCUCUCACUUAGACACGAAGACACCCGUAUUUGCACAGACACCGGGGGAAGAGACACAGGAGGGAGAGCAGGGUGGAGGUUGUGGCUUUGCGCCUGCACACCCAUGAAGAAGGAGUGGACUCGAGGCACAGUUUUGAGAACAUGGUCCGUCUCUUUCUCUAGGAAACUCACAAGCCCUGCACAGGUGACUCCUGAGUCUCCACACACACACUGACAGCCAUUCGGGGGUGUGAGGUUCCGUCUAGAAAACUACCACUGCCAACACCUGCAGCAAGGGGCCCGUUAACGCAGAUCACAGGUGGAGGGAGGCGCAGCCCAAGGCCUUCCACUGCGCAGGAAACAACCGUGUUAUUCUGAGCUUUCCUUCCAGAUUGCUAAUUCCUGUUUCUGAAAAUCUUCCUGAUUCUUCGAGUGCUAAGAAGCACUUACCUCAUGCCUCCAUCUGUUCCUUUAUCCUGGCUCCUCUUUUUGGAUCACACGGCCGCUCUCUCAGAAGUGUUUGACUCCUCAUCAGUGAAGGUUCAGGAAGUCUGUUAGUGGCUCCCAAAAUGUCUGCCUUUCACCUUCCAAGAAAAUCCUGCAGCCACGGAGGGCAGGACGCUGAAGAAAGAAACGCAGCUCUCCCGGUGCGGGCGGCUUGGCCCCCAGAAGGGCCUGGAUCCGAGUUAACUCUGCAGCACCUCGGGGCAUCUUUCACUGUUGAGGAGAGAAAUCUGCUUCACACUUAAUCACAAAAUCCAGAUCUCACACUGCUAUAAAAAGAAGUGAUUUCAAUCAAGCCCAGCAAAUUGGAGCAAAAUGCCAACAACGAGGCAGGACAUCUGCUGCCAUUUGAUCGUCCCAGGGCAGCCAGCAGGCAGCAGGGUCAGAAUGGAGGCCACAGCCACACUCUG